UCGAUACAAACAUUGGUAAAAAUAUCGCCUUAUAAACGAACAACAAAUAGUAUGAACGCAGCGACAAGCAAUAUAAACACGCUUACCCUCUCACAAAACAACAGGCGGAGUAGAUAUCGAUAUUAAUGAGAUUUCAAAGUCCUUGUUUACUUCGUACAUUUAAAGACGCGGCAUGUUGCGUGGUUCGCAUUAUUGCUGAAAUGAAAGAAAACAAUGAUAUUGAUUUUGAUGUACCAGAAAUAGAUGAUACAGAAUGUGUUGAUGUAUCUUCCAAAAAAUUUGUGGGUUCAUCAAAUAUUUAUUGCAAAUGAAAUGUGAGAAGUGUCAAAGCAUCCUAGAGUCAUAAUGAUUGUGCCCAACAGUGAUAUAGCAAUCUCAAUAGUUUGGGAAGCUGGUAUUGAUUUGAGUGCUUGUUUUGCCAUGCUAAGUUCUUAAAAUAAUUGUUUCUUCUGGAUUAAAACAUGCAAUUGGCAGCCAGUAAAUUGCAUUUUGUGACCAAUAGGAUUGACGAUAUGGCAAAUGGCAGCCAGUAAACUAAUUAAAUAUACAGCAGCCAAUUGCACAGCGAAGUGGCCCUACUGUUGUAUAUUCCUUUACUGUGGAUAUGCUGGCCAGAAGAAAACAAAAAAAAAAAACUUAUGUAAACAAUUUGAGUGCUUUACAAAAAAUAGCGUUUUGUAUAGACAACUGAAAAUUACGUGAAAGAGCUAGGAAAGUUGUUUGCAACAUGUUUAGCUUGGGCUGCAUUUGCCUAAGUAGAAAGCUAAUUUAAGAUUGAUAAAGAAUUGAGAUAGUUUCAGUGUCUAAGAAAGAGAAGCAGGAGCGAGUGUAUUUAGAUUUUUUGUUCAUUCAACAACUAACUUAAUGAACAUUGUAUCAUACUUAAUGAACGGAAGAUUGCUUAAACUCUCUAUCGGCCAAAUUAGAACUGGCAAUCCAAAUAGAUUCAAAUCAGACCAUGGUCGCUGAAAUAAGGAACUUCGAGGAUCUGAAUGAAAAGCAUCAAUCAUGUGAUUACCAUUUCCUUGAGCUAUAAACAUCAUUGUGAUCUUCUUUCGAAAUGGCCAUGUUUGUAGAGCAUCGUAAUCACCUAGAAAUAAUAUCAUACACAAUAUAAAUUUUUAUAAUAAUAUAAGUCUUAAUAAAUCCCAAGGCAUAUCUUUC